AAAUUGAAGAGUUUGAUCAUGGCUCAGAUUGAACGCUGGCGGCAGGCCUAACACAUGCAAGUCGAACGGUAACAGGAAGAAGCUUGCUUCUUUGCUGGCGAGUGGCGGACGGGUGAGUAAUGUCUGGGAAAC
rnacentral:rRNA from 1 species